ensembl:miRNA mir135c-2 microRNA 135c-2
UGCAGUCUAAAGCAACUCAAAACACUACUGUGCUUUAUGGCUUUCUAUUCCUAUGUGAUUUUGAUAUGAUGUAUCAUGUAGGGUUCAAAGCCAUUAGGUACAGAGUGGCUUAUCAGCAGUGGAUGUA